rnacentral:rRNA from 2 species
UGAGGAAUAUUGGUCAAUGGCCGAGAGGCUGAACCAGCCAAGUCGCGUGAAGGAAGAAGGAUCUAUGGUUUGUAAACUUCUUUUAUAGGGGAAUAAAGUGGAGGACGUGUCCUUUUUUGUAUGUACCCUAUGAAUAAGCAUCGGCUAACUCCGUGCCAGCAGCCGCGGUAAUACGGAGGAUGCGAGCGUUAUCCGGAUUUAUUGGGUUUAAAGGGUGCGUAGGUGGUGAUUUAAGUCAGCGGUGAAAGUUUGUGGCUCAACCAUAAAAUUGCCGUUGAAACUGGGUUACUUGAGUGUGUUUGAGGUAGGCGGAAUGCGUGGUGUAGCGGUGAAAUGCAUAGAUAUCACGCAGAACUCCGAUUGCGAAGGCAGCUUACUAAACCAUAACUGACACUGAAGCACGAAAGCGUGGGGAUCAAACAGG